rnacentral:rRNA from 1 species
CAUUAUGGCCAUAUCACGUUGGAGCAUCGGUUCUUCUCCGAUCACCGAAGUUAAGCAGCCUCGAGGAUGACGAGUACUUAGAUGGGUGACCGCUUGGGAAACCUAAGUGCUGUAAGUG